rnacentral:rRNA from 1 species
AGAAACUUGUAUGAAUGGUUGGAUGAGAAAGUUACUUUGUUUAUUUUAUUUAUAAUGAAUUUUAUUUUUAAGUUAAAAGGCUUAGAUUUUUUUAUAAGACGAGAAGACCCUAUAGAGUUUAAUAAUAUAGCUAUAAACAUUAUUAAGAAUAUUUUAUUUUAUAGGCUUUAUUAUUUGGUUGGGGUGACUUUAAAAUUUAAUUAACUUUUAAUUUUAUAAGUACUUUAAUUUAUGGUUGAUUGAUCCAAUUAUUUUGAUUAAAAGAAUAAAUUACCUUAGGGAUAACAGCGUAAUUUUCUUGGUGAGUUCAUAUCUAUAGGAAAGAUUGCGACCUCGAUGUUGGAUUAAAAUUAACUGUUGGCGCAGUAGUUGAUGGGUUGGGUCUGUUCGACCUUUAAAAUUUUACAUGAUCUGAGUUCAAACCGGA